rnacentral:rRNA from 1 species
AAGCGUGCGCAGGCGGUUUUGUAAGUCAGAUGUGAAAUCCCCGAGCUCAACUUGGGAACUGCGUUUGAAACUACAAGACUAGAAUAUGUCAGAGGGGGGUAGAAUUCCACGUGUAGCAGUGAAAUGCGUAGAGAUGUGGAGGAAUACCAAUGGCGAAGGCAGCCCCCUGGGAUAAUAUUGACGCUCAUGCACGAAAGCGUGGGGAGCAAACAGGAUUAGAUACCCUGGUAGUCCACGCCCUAAACGAUGUCUACUAGUUGUUGGUGGAGUAAAAUCCAUGAGUAACGCAGCUAACGCGUGAAGUAGACCGCCUGGGGAGUACGGGCGCAAGAUUAAAACUCAAAUGAAUUGACGGGGGCCCGCACAAGCGGUGGAUUAUGUGGAUUAAUUCGAUGCAACGCGAAAAACCUUACCUGGCCUUGACAUGUAACGAACUUUCCAGAGAUGGAUUGGUGCUCGAAAGAGAGCGUUAACACAGGUGCUGCAUGGCUGUCGUCAGCUCGUGUCGUGAGAUGUUGGGUUAAGUCCCGCAACGAGCGCAACCCUUGCCAUUAAUUGCCAUCAUUUAGUUGGGCACUUUAAUGGGACUGCCGGUGACAAACCGGAGGAAGGUGGGGAUGACGUCAAGUCCUCAUGGCCCUUAUGGCCAGGGCUUCACACGUAAUACAAUGGUCGGUACAGAGGGUUGCCAAGCCGCGAGGUGGAGCCAAUCCCAGAAAGCCGAUCGUAGUCCGGAUUGUAGUCUGCAACUCGACUACUUGAAGUCGGAAUCGCUAGUAAUCGCGGAUCAGCAUGUCGCGGUGAAUACGUUCCCGGG